GCGCAGGUGGUGUAACGGUAGCCACGCUACCUUGAGGUGGUAGUGCCCUUACGGGCGUGGAGGUUCAAGUCCUCUCCUGCGCA
rnacentral:tRNA from 1 species